rnacentral:rRNA from 1 species
UACAGAGGCCUCGAGCGUUGUUCGGAAUUACUGGGCGUAAAGGGAAUGUAGGUGGUGACGUAAGUCAGAUGUGAAAGCCCUGGGCUUAACCUGGGAAGUGCAUUUGAUACUGCGUUGCUGGAGUGCGAGAGAGGAAAGCGGAAUUCCAAGUGUAGGAGUGAAAUCCGUAGAUAUUUGGAGGAAUACCGAUGGCGAAGGCAGCUUUCUGGCUCGUAACUGACACUGAGAUUCGAAAGCGUGGGUAGCAAACAGG